CGCGCGGUGCGAGCGGGGGUGUCACCGGCACCGGGCGUCCGCCAGCAACACGGGGGCGGAACCGUAGGAGCCCCAGCAGGGGACGGGUAUCCCGGGCCGGGUGUCCGUGAGGGUGUUUAAAAGCUCCCCCAGGAGCGGGAGAAGGAGGUUUUCUUUGACCUUGGUCAGAUCUAAUCUGCAUCUUGAUCUGACUCUUGGUUGCAAUUAGAUUUAGGACCUCUGACCCCUCUGGUUUCUUGACAGAAUUAAAUCGUUAAAGAAAUAUUCUUCAAACUAGUGAGCACAAGAGAAGAAGCAUGCAGGUCUUCACACCUUUUGGUAGAAGCUGAAUAAAGCCAUAACGCCACCAUCUGUGAAAUGGUGGCAGUAGUAUUGAUCUGCUUAAUACUCAGUGCCCGAGAGCAUUAAAGAUGAGGAAUUUCAGAAAAGUGAAACAUCUGAUUAAUGGCUUAUACGUGUGAGCUUUGGAGAUGCCUAUCCGUAUGUUGUUAAAUGUGCUUUAUUCAGAUUUUUGCUUGUAUUCUUUGUACAAAACCUGUUAGCCAUUUGUGUGUACAAGGGAGGUUUGGCAGAUGCCCAGGGGUAGGCGAAGGGCUGUGUGGCUUGGAGCCAUCCGCCCUUAAGGUUUGACGUUGCUGGAAAGCUAGUCUUGGAAGAAAAUAGGCCCGUGCAAACAUGAGUCGAGGGGAAUAGGGAUGUUGGCUUAGUGACGCUGCUGCGUGUUGUCAGUGUAAAUAUUUUUAUUUAAUUCUUCUUUUGUUUCAACAAUAAAAGGGCAGAAUCAACUUGUACUCAAAAUACAAAAUUUCACUUAGAAGCCCAGAAUUGGCUGAGGCAAUUUACUGUGUGAUUUGGUUUUGUUUGCUCAUGUGCCAAAGGGUCCUCUCGCUUAUCCAGAUGGUUCUCACCACACUCCCAUACAAAGAUAGUCUGUUCAUCGCUGUUGCACGGAGGGUGCAACAGCUGAUCCCAGAACAACCCAUUCAGUGCUUUUUCUGAAUUUAUUCUCAGUGAGGGAGGCCAGUUGGAAAUCUCAUGGCACUUAUUACAGUACCCAGCCUCUCGUAAAAGGUGUCCUCUGUAAUACAGCUCCCAUAUUUUUAUGCAGACUAAGAUUACAUCCUGCAUCCAUCCAAAAUGAACAAAUUAAAAACAAGCACAGGAGGUAGAUUUGCCACUUCUCAUCAGUUUAUCUGGAGAUUUCAUCUGAAGCCAUUUCUCUUCAUUUUUACUCUUUUCAACAGCAGGCACAACGAUUGCUGUAUCCCUUUUCUCAAUAGAUGAUACUGAUUUUUCAUUUACCACUCUUACCAUAAUAUCUUUCUCAUGGUCUCAAAUAACACAAGAGCACAUUUCACUGCUCAAUGUAUAUACUUUAACUACUGGUGGAAUUGGUACAGGGAAAUGGUUCUGAUCAGCGAGAAAACCAUAUUUGGUUAGUCCCCAGAAAAUUAAGAUUUCUGAUGACAUAUUUCAUUUGCCAGUUGGGUGCUGAAGAUACUACUGGUGGUACAGAGGUAAAAAUGAAAUUUUAAAAGUGCUAUAAAAAUGAAAAAACAAUAUACUAAUAAAAAGCAUUGUCAAGUAGGGUCAGAGGAAGAAAGUGAAAGUCUAAUUCCAGGGGAAUACACUUGCUUUUCUUUCCCACUCUCUUGCACAACAGCCAGCCACCUGACAAUUGCCUGCUUUUGGCAUUAGUCAGCUCUUGUAUUAGCUUUUAAUGUUUGUUGAUAAUUUUCUCUCAUUUGUGCCUGUGGAUAUAAAUCUGGUUAUUUAUAUGAAAAAAUGUGUUACCAGUAAAUAUUGUUAAGUCUCUGAAGAGCUACAUUGUGUUAGCCUUCUGAUAUUUAUAUGUCCACACAUAACUAAUCAGCUUCAGAGGAAAGUAAACAGCAGAGGUCUGUUUAGCCUCUUUCUGAAGGUCAAUGGACAAAAUAAAAAGCAUCCAAGGUCACAUGAAGCACGUUUUCAAGCUGGUAUACACCAUAGUUUAUCCCGUUUCUUUAUAUACCUUUUUAUUUUGUGAGCAUCAGAACUGAUGGCACCUAUGUGCAAGAGACAUGUCUGUGAUCAAGUUAAUUGUAAUACUGCCUGCUGUGCAUACAUAUAUAGCUCAUCAUACGCUUUCUUUCACCCUGAAUUUGCAUAGCUUUUUUAAUUAUUACUAUAAUAAGCAUCCACAUUAAAAGAAUGGUAGAAAAUAAAUUAGGAAAUGCACUUGCAGCCUUAAUUUGAUCGCCUUUAUAAUAACAUUUUUAAUUCAUGCAGCAUGACCAAUGCAAUUUCUUUCCGCUGGCUGCAUGGCAUAUUCAGCUCCCACUAUGGAAUUAGGUAAGACUUGUGUAACUGAUGAAGUUGGUCCUGACAGUAUUCCUACCAAAAAGUAUAUAUCAUAUUUUCUCCUAAUAAUUUCUUAGUAUCUGAAAGCUAUUCCCAUAUUUAUCAUGUGUCUGGGCUCCCGAAUGUUGAGGUCUCUUCCCUUCACUUUCUCUGUCCUACCCAGUGCUAUUUGACUUUGAUGCACCCUUAGUGAAACUAUGAUGGAGCUUCAGUGCUUGUCCUACUAGCAGGAGCAGUGAAGUUGCAAGCAAAAAAGCAAAAUAGUCUGUGUAGUCUUGCACUGGGGAAAAAUAAUCAGAUUAAACCUCCAGACUGGCUUCUUAAAAAGUAAAAUAAAUCCUUUUAUAACAAGUAAUAAUUUACUUCUCAUAAACCUGUCAGCACCAGCCAGAGCUCAGACACUGUAUAAACAUACAUACAUCUUGGAUUAAUUACCCUUGCCUUCAGAUUCGCUGCAAGUAAUUCAGUACAAGGAUAAUGCAAGAAAACACUAAAUAUUCUGGUGGUUGGUAUUAGAAAACACAAUCUCUUGUUUAAGGGCAGUUAGAUUAAUUACCAAGAGUAUAGCUUUUGCAUGUUGUUGCAGAUGACACAGUAGCAAGCCCUCUCAAGUCGGGCAUGUCCCAAAGCAGUCCUCCCUGCAAGCCAGGUUCAGGGCCUUCUGCAAACAAAGUGAAAUCCUGCCUUUGCCCUGCUGAGUUGGGGAGUUCAGUCGUGUGGGAUGCUUUUGGCACAAAAAGUGUGAACUGAUGAGGAGUAGAUUCAGCACUGGCUUUGAAAUGCAGUGGUUGCUUUAGUUUUGAAUUACUUGUUGGUUCUACCCAUUUUCCUGUGUUUCCUGCCUGGUAACUACUUUAGUUCACUGCAGAUUUUUAAAGCCCUCCAUCCAACAUCAUGGAGCCAUAGAGUUGAGGACAAACAAACGGAACUGUUUGAUAAUCUUAUGCAAAACAUUAUAAACCUCAGGAUAUCACGUUUUCAGCAUCCCCCUGUGUGCUGAAGCCAGUGGCCAGGGUUUGUCCCUGUCUCAGGCAGGACAGCAGGAGAUUCUGCCUGGGGAGGGCACAUAAGCCUGGCUACUGUCUCCAGCCUGGUCCCCAUGUAGUCCUCUAGCAUCUCCAGUUGUUCUGUUAGGGAUGUCAGAGGGCACAUCCCUGGCUAUUCCUUUCCAUUUCCAGUUUGAGCACUGCUGUUUGACUCUCACAUCUUUUGAACCUGCAAGUGUAGUCUGCUUCCAGGAUGUCUCACAGAAGCAAGUUCCAGAAGUUAAACACCUGCUAGGUAAAGCAGCACUUCUCUUUCCUCAGUUUUGAAACACUCCUCCCAGAUUUACCAAAUGCCCCCUGCUCCUGGUAUUGCAGGAUUUCGUGAAUGACGGUUCUGCAUGUGUUUUAUUUGCUACUUUGUGAUUUUGUAAACCUUGAUCUUAUCUUGCUUCAGCGUUCUGAAAAUUAAGGCCUCAGGGUCUUACCAGUCUCUCCUCCAAAGGCAGCUGCUUCAUCCCCAGGAUCACAUUAAAUGCUCUUUUCUGUACCUGCUCAACUUUACUAUGCCUUUCAUGAGCACUGUGUGCAGGUCUGGUCUCCACAUGUCAGAAUGUGCGCUCACCACGGUUGUACACAGAAAAACGAUGCUGUCUGUUUUGUUCUCUAACGCGUUUCCUUGGGGUUUUUUUGGCUGCCACAUCAUAAUGAACGGAAGGUAUCCAGUCUUCAUUUUAAGAUAUAAAAAGAUGAAAAAAUUCCUACUUCCCUUGGUCUGUUUCUCCAGCGGCUGACCACUCUCAUUGUAAAAAACAUGCUGAGUUUUGUAUUUUAGAUUUUCAAUGCUUAACGUUCAGACUUUGUUUUUCUACCUACUGCUUGCUCCUGUCGCUGUAAAUGUGCAUAUACAUCAUAUAACUUUGUGCAUAACGUACAUAAAACUUGGGAGUUUUCAUUUUAGCAGGGGAAGUAAUACUAACAAAAGACAGAGUGAUUCUGGGCUUAGCUACCAGGAUGCAGAGAUCCUUCAACACAGCGUGCAAGAUAAAACUGCUUCUCCUGUCUGUUUUGUUUUCUUCUGAGGAAAGACUAAACCUCAGAAACAAAGCUUUGAUACUCUAGCAAGCCAGUUUGCUUGUGGCAGUAAGCAAGAUUCAGUAUAUAUUUUUCUUGGUAGCUUUUAGAGUGAGUAGCUUGAGUACUGUGUAUUUCAAUAAAUGAUAUGGGACUGUCUAUCACUCGUACAAAGACAGGAGAAAAAAAUCAGCCUUUUGAAUAAAUAUAUAUAAAUAA